CCCUCAAUUUCCCUCAUUGGUUUUACUGUUCCCCAUGGCACUUACAGAGGAAAAAUUAAUACUAUGUAUUUGUUCUCUUCCAUAGGGCAAGAUGAUUUUGGUCUUUUUUACUCACCAAUACAUCUCCAGUGCUUAGCAGAUCUACUGAAUCCACUAUUUAGGAAAAGCCGCAUUUCAGCAUUCUGAACUUCAAAGAGGAACCAGGACUACGGGAGGAGCAUGAAUGUGGACAAGGAGUGUGACCACUGAAGCACAGCACCACAGGGAGGGGUUCAAGCCUCUGGAUGACUACUGGCAAGCCUGGACAAUAUCCAAUCUCCCACAAGAAGGUGGUGGAGCAGAGUGUUCCCUGACUCCUCCAAGUAAAGGAGACUCCCUUUCACGGUCUACUAAGUAACAGGUGCCUUCCCAGGCACUGGCGUUACCACUUGACCAAGGAGCCCUCAAGCGGCCCUUAUGCGGGCGUGACAGAGGGCUGGCUCACCUCUUGCCUUCUAGGUCACUUCUCACAAUGUCCCUUCAGCACCUGACCCUGUAUCUGCCGGUUAUUCCUUGGUUAUAUUAGUAGUACAACAAAGAGUAAUAUUAAAAGCUAAUGACUAGUAAUGUUUAUACUAAUGAUUGAUAAUGCCCGUGAUCAUCUCUGUAUCUAAUUUGUAUUAUGACUAUUCUUAUUCUAACUAUUUUAUGUAUUAUACUGAAACAGUUUGUGCCUUCAGUCUCUUGCCUCGGCACCUGGGUAAUCCUUCGCCCACAUCCUAUAAGUACAGCUGUGUUUUAUUCUUUGUUUUUUAGACAGGGUCUCA
rnacentral:lncRNA from 1 species